rnacentral:rRNA from 1 species
UACGUAGGGUGCGAGCGUUAAUCGGAAUUAUUGGGCGUAAAGCGCGCGCAGGUGGUUCCUUAAGUCUGAUGUGAAAGCCCACGGCUCAACCGUGGAGGGUCAUUGGAAACUGGGGAACUUGAGUGCAGAAGAGGAAAGUGGAAUUCCACGUGUAGCGGUGAAAUGCGUAGAGAUGUGGAGGAGCACCAGUGGCGAAGGCGACUUUCUGGUCUGUAACUGACACUGAGGCGCGAAAGCGUGGGGAGCAAACAGG